AUGGUAUUCCCUCCGUCUGAAAAUACUUGUCAUCAAAAUGAAUAAAAUGAGAUGUAUCUAGAUGUAUUUUAGUUUUAGAUACAUCCCUUUUUGUCCAUUUUGAUGACAAGUAUUUUCGGACGGAGGGAGUAGUAU
rnacentral:pre_miRNA from 1 species